UGUUCUUUGGUCAGUUGGUUAGAGCGUGGUGCUGAUAAUGCCAAGGUUUCAGGUUCGAUCCCCGUAUAGGACAG
rnacentral:tRNA from 1 species